rnacentral:rRNA from 1 species
GACAGAGGGUGCAACCGUUGUUCGGAAUUACUGGGCGUAAAGCGUGUGUAGGCGGUCUGCUAAGUCGGGUGUGAAAGCCCUGGGCUCAACCCAGGAAGUGCACUCGAAACUGGCAGGCUAGAGUACUGGAGAGGUUGGUGGAAUUCUCGGUGUAGAGGUGAAAUUCGUAGAUAUCGAGAGGAACACCGGUGGCGAAGGCGGCCAACUGGACAGAUACUGACGCUGAGACACGAAAGCGUGGGGAGCGAACAGG